GGAAAAGGCAGAAAUGUGCUGGCAGGCGGCAGAGUCACAACACACAGUGAAAAGAGAGUUGUUCAAACACUGUCUAAUGGACUUAAUCCCCACUUCCUGCCCUUUCAGGAUAACAACUUAUUUUCAAAAGCAGUGCAAACUAAUACACAACUCCUAGGAAGAGUUAGAAAAAGUUAAAACAUCCAUCAGACUGGAACUGGUGUCAAAUAAAAGUCUCUCAAGAGGCUAGAAAGAAAAGUCCCUCCAAGGGUGGGGGAUGGAUAUUACUUUAUCACUGGGUCUAGGCCACCUCCUGCUGCGUCAGAAAUGCCACGGCCAUGGAGCAAAGUCAUGACGUGUGUUGAUCAACUUCGUACCUGCAAGUUACAUGCCAGAAGUACAGCUGCGUGUCAAUGACUAGCUUGGAUCCCAUCUGCAGGGCUUGUGAACUGCAACAGCAUGUUCUUCUGUUAGCGAUCAUAGCUUUGUCAUUCGACUUUUUGGCAAAAUACUGCAUCUUCAGCCAGGAGAAGUUGGCGAAGUACAAAAGGGCUUUUGAAGCGGAGGUUCUGAGUUAUGCUGUCGUCUACCUGGGAGUGCUUAAGUUUCUUCCUCUGCAAGAUGAUGUGGCCAAGCCCAUUAGAUUUGGUGGAGACCCUGAAGAUUUUGUUGAAGGGGCAGAAGAGGACACUUUUUGAAGAUGGAGGAAGCUUUCUUAGGCUAUAGGAAGAGAAGGAGCCUUAGACAGAGAUGUCAGAGGAUGCACAAAAGACCUUUCUACUUGUCUACUAUGAGACACAGUUGAGAUGACAAAAAAAAGUAAAGGAAUAGGCAAAGAUUAAGAGUUCCCAAGGCUUUCCCUCAGUUUGAAAAUGGAAGCAGAGAUUAACCAUACCUUGUCAAAGCUGCGCUUCCAAGACACUGGAGUUCUGCUCAUAGAUGAGUGGCUUAUUUUCUGAAAACUUAAUACUGUGAGUAUCUUUCUAGGGUGAUACUGUUGAAGAUGGGUACUCGAACUGCUGGCAAGUUUUGAUGGCCUUGAAAGAUGUUGCUUCAGAAGCACUGAUUUAUGCAGGAAGUAAACCUAACAGAUCUCUCCCUUCAAAAAUGUGAGAGAGUGGCAAAUAUUUGCCGUAUCAUACCAUCAUAAUUUAUUUGUAGUAAUUGGUUGGUCAAAGCCCCCCUUAAAUAAAGAAAGUGCCCUGACUAGCAGCAGCAUUGGCACAUGUGGGAGGUAUUUAUUUCAUAG
ensembl:lncRNA